AUUGAACGCUGGCUGCAUGCCUUACACAUGCAAGUCGAACGGUAACAGGUCUUCGGAUGCUGACGAGUGGCGAACGGGUGAGUAAUGCAUCGGAACGUGCCCAGUAGUGGGGGAUAGCCCGGCGAAAGCCGGAUUAAUACCGCAUACGACCUAAGGGUGAAAGCAGGGGAUCGCAAGACCUUGCGCUAUUGGAGCGGCCGAUGUCAGAUUAGGUAGUUGGUGGGGUAAAGGCCUACCAAGCCGACGAUCUGUAGCUGGUCUGAGAGGACGACCAGCCACACUGGGACUGAGACACGGCCCAGACUCCUACGGGAGGCAGCAGUGGGGAAUUUUGGACAAUGGGCUCAAGCCUGAUCCAGCCAUGCCGCGUGCGGGAAGAAGGCCUUCGGGUUGUAAACCGCUUUUGUCAGGGAAGAAACGCUCUGGGUUAAUACCCCGGGGUAAUGACGGUACCUGAAGAAUAAGCACCGGCUAACUACGUGCCAGCCGCCGCGGUAAUAC
rnacentral:rRNA from 1 species